CCCUUAGAUGUUCUGGGCCGCACGCGCGCUACACUGACGGAGUCAACGAGUUGUCCUGCAUCGGAAGGUGUGGGUAAUCUUUUGAAACUUCGUCGUGCUGGGGAUAGAUCUUUGCAAUUUUCGAUCUUGAACGAGGAAUUCCUAGUAAGCGUGAUUCAUCAGAUCGCGUUGAUUACGUCCCUGCCCUUUGUACACACCGCCCGUCGCUCCUACCGAUCGAAGAGUUAGGUGAAUUGUUUUGAUCGAUAAGAUUUGACUAUGGUCAACUCUCGUUGUGAAAUUCUGUGAAUCUGACUGUUUAGAGGAAGGAAAAGUCGUAACA
rnacentral:rRNA from 1 species